CACAUGACUCUCGGCAACGGAUAUCUCGGCUCUUGCAUCGAUGAAGAACGUAGCAAAAUGCGAUACCUGGUGUGAAUUGCAGAAUCCCGUGAACCAUCGAGUUUUUGAACGCAAGUUGCGCCUGAGGCCUUUUGGCCGAGGGCACGUCUGCCUGGGCGUCACGC
rnacentral:rRNA from 1 species